AGAGUUUGAUCCUGGCUCAGAUUGAACGCUGGCGGCAUGCCUUACACAUGCAAGUCGAACGCGAAAGCGGGGCAACCCGCAAGUAGAGUGGCGAACGGGUGAGUAAUACAUCGGAACAUAUCCAGUAGCGGGGGAUAACCUGUCGAAAGAUAGGCUAAUACCGCAUACGCCCUACGGGGGAAAGCGGGGGUCGCAAGACCUCGCACUAUUGGAGUGGCCGAUGUCGGAUUAGCUAGUUGGCGGGGUAAAAGCCCACCAAGGCGACGAUCCGUAGCUGGUCUGAGAGGACGACCAGCCACACUGGAACUGAGACACGGUCCAGACUCCUACGGGAGGCAGCAGUGGGGAAUUUUGGACAAUGGGCGCAAGCCUGAUCCAGCCAUGCCGCGUGAGUGAAGAAGGCCUUCGGGUUGUAAAGCUCUUUCGGUGGGGAAGAAAUGGUUCGUGCUAAUACCACGAACUGAUGACGGUACCCGAAGAAGAAGCACCGGCUAACUACGUGCCAGCAGCCGCGGUAAUACGUAGGGUGCAGGCGUUAAUCGGAGUUACUGGGCGUAAAGCGUACGCAGGCGGUUUGCUAAGACAGGUGUGAAAUCCCCGGGCUUAACCUGGGAACUGCGCUUGUUACUGGCAAGCUAGAGUGUGGCAGAGGGGGGUAGAAUUCCAGGUGUAGCAGUGAAAUGCGUAGAUAUCUGGAGGAAUACCGAUGGCGAAGGCAGCCCCCUGGGUUAACACUGACGCUCAUGUACGAAAGCGUGGGGAGCAAACAGGAUUAGAUACCCUGGUAGUCCACGCCCUAAACUAUGUCAACUGGUUGUCGGGGAAGCAAUUCCUUGGUAACGAAGCUAACGCGUGGAGUUGACCGCCUGGGGAGUACGGCCGCAAGGUUAAAACUCCAAGGAAUUGACGGGGACCCGCACAAGCGGUGGAUUAUGUGGAUUAAUUCGAUGCAACGCGAAAAACCUUACCUACCCUUGACAUGCUAGGAAGCUCGCAGAGAUGUGAGUGUGCCCGAAAGGGAGCCUAGACACAGGUGCUGCAUGGCUGUCGUCAGCUCGUGUCGUGAGAUGUUGGGUUAAGUCCCGCAACGAGCGCAACCCUUGCCAUUAGUUGCUACAUUCAGUUGGGCACUCUAAUGGGACUGCCGGUGACAAACCGGAGGAAGGUGGGGAUGACGUCAAGUCCUCAUGGCCCUUAUGGGUAGGGCUUCACACGUAAUACAAUGGCAGGUACAAAGGGCAGCCAACCCGCGAGGGGGAGCUAAUCCCAGAAAGCCUGUCGUAGUCCGGAUUGUAGUCUGCAACUCGACUGCAUGAAGCCGGAAUCGCUAGUAAUCGUGGAUCAGCAUGUCACGGUGAAUACGUUCCCGGGUCUUGUACACACCGCCCGUCACACCAUGGGAGUGGGUUUCACCAGAAGUAGUUAGCCUAACCGCAAGGAGGGCGACUACCACGGUGAGAUUCAUGACUGGGGUGAAGUCGUAACAAGGUA
rnacentral:rRNA from 1 species